rnacentral:rRNA from 1 species
CUACGUGCCAGCAGCCGCGGUAAUACGUAGGUCCCGAGCGUUGUCCGGAUUUAUUGGGCGUAAAGCGAGCGCAGGCGGUUAGAUAAGUCUGAAGUUAAAGGCUGUGGCUUAACCAUAGUACGCUUUGGAAACUGUUUAACUUGAGUGCAAGAGGGGAGAGUGGAAUUCCAUGUGUAGCGGUGAAAUGCGUAGAUAUAUGGAGGAACACCGGUGGCGAAAGCGGCUCUCUGGUCUGUAACUGACGCUGAGGCUCGAAAGCGUGGGGAGCGAACAGGAUUAGAUACCCUGGUAGUCCACGCCGUAAACGAUGAGUGCUAGGUGUUAGGCCCUUUCCGGGGCUUAGUGCCGCAGCUAACGCAUUAAGCACUCCGCCUGGGGAGUACGACCGCAAGGUUGAAACUCAAAGGAAUUGACGGGGGCCCGCACAAGCGGUGGAGCAUGUGGUUUAAUUCGAAGCAACGCGAAGAACCUUACCAGGUCUUGACAUCCCGAUGCCCGCUCUAGAGAUAG